rfam:Culex pipiens quinquefasciatus supercont3.145 genomic scaffold, whole genome shotgun sequence.
UUUAUGCGUCAAACUCGGCUCAGUUUGGUGAACUUUGAUUUGACAUCACUGGGCAUAGUUUGUCGCAUAAU